rnacentral:piRNA from 1 species
UGAGACCUGAAGGCUUGAAUGUAA